rnacentral:rRNA from 1 species
CUACGGGUUGCUGCAGUGGGGAAUAUUGGACAAUGGGGGAAACCCUGAUCCAGCAAUGCCGCGUGUGUGAAGAAGGCCUGCGGGUUGUAAAGCACUUUCGGUUGGGAGGACUGCUUCUAGCACUAAUAUUGUUGGAAGUUGACGUUACCUUCAGAAGAAGCACCGGCUAACUCCGUGCCAGCAGCCGCGGUAAUACGGAGGGUGCAGGCGUUAAUCGGAAUUACUGGGCGUAAAGCGCGCGUAGGCGGCUAGAUCAGUCGGGUGUGAAAGCCCCGGGCUUAACCUGGGAACGGCAUCCGAUACUGUCUAGCUUGAGUACAGGAGAGGAGAGUGGAAUUCCACAUGUAGCGGUGAAAUGCGUAGAUAUGUGGAGGAACACCAAUGGCGAAGGCAGCUCUCUGGCCUGAUACUGACGCUGAGGUGCGAAAGCGUGGGGAGCAAACAGGAUUAGAUACCCGUGUAGUC